rnacentral:rRNA from 1 species
AUUGAACGCUGGCGGCAGGCUUAACACAUGCAAGUCGGGCGGAGAUGAGGUGCUUGCACCUUAUCUUAGCGGCGGACGGGUGAGUAAUGCUUAGGAAUCUGCCUAUUAGUGGGGGACAACAUUCCGAAAGGAAUGCUAAUACCGCAUACGUCCUACGGGAGAAAGCAGGGGAUCUGCGGACCGUGCGCUAAUAGAUGAGCCUAAGUCGGAUUAGCUAGUUGGUGGGGUAAAGGCCUACCAAGGCGACGAUCUGUAGCGGGUCUGAGAGGAUGAUCCGCCACACUGGGACUGAGACACGGCCCAGACUCCUACGGGAGGCAGCAGUGGGGAAUAUUGGACAAUGGGCGGAAGCCUGAUCCAGCCAUGCCGCGUGUGUGAAGAAGGCCUUUUGGUUGUAAAGCACUUUAAGCGAGGAGGAGGCUACCUGGAUUAAUACUCUAGGAUAGUGGACGUUACUCGCAGAAUAAGCACCGGCUAACUCUGUGCCAGCAGCCGCCGCGGUAA